rnacentral:rRNA from 1 species
AUUGAACGCUGGCGGCAUGCUUUACACAUGCAAGUCGAACGGUAACAGGCCGCAAGGUGCUGACGAGUGGCGAACGGGUGAGUAAUGCAUCGGAACGUGCCCAGUCGUGGGGGAUAACUGCUCGAAAGAGCAGCUAAUACCGCAUACGAUCUAUGGAUGAAAGCGGGGGACCGUAAGGCCUCGCGCGAUUGGAGCGGCCGACGUCAGAUUAGGUAGUUGGUGGGGUAAAGGCUCACCAAGCCAACGGUCUGUAGCUGGUCUGAGAGGACGACCAGCCACACUGGGACUGAGACACGGCCCAGACUCCUACGGGAGGCAGCAGUGGGGAAUUUUGGACAAUGGGGGCAACCCUGAUCCAGCAAUGCCGCGUGCAGGAAGAAGGCCUUCGGGUUGUAAACUGCUUUUGUACGGAACGAAACGGUCUGGGUUAAUACCCUGGGCUAAUGACGGUACCGUAAGAAUAAGCACCGGCUAACUACGUGCCAGCCGCCGCAGUAAGAC